rnacentral:rRNA from 1 species
AUGUAAGGAAGGCAGCAGGCGCGCAAAUUACCCACUCCCGGCACGGGGAGGUAGUGACGAAAAAUAGCGAUACGGGACUCAUCCGAGGCCCCGUAAUCGGAAUGAGUACACUUUAAAUCCUUUAACAAGGAUCCAUUGGAGGGCAAGUCUGGUGCCAGCAGCCGCGGUAAUUCCAGCUCCAAUAGCGUAUAUUAAAGUUGUUGCGGUUAAAAAGCUCGUAGUUGAAUCUGUGUGCCACGCUGUCGGUUCACCGCUCGCGGUGUUACUGAUUGGCCAGUGGUACGUCCUACCGGUGGAUUUUGCUCGCGCCUUCGGGUGCGGGCGGUCCAAAUUGAAUCCCAUCGCGGUGCUCUUCACCGAGUGUCGAGGUGGGCCGGUACUUUUACUUUGAACAAAUUAGAGUGCUCAAAGCAGGCCUAAAAUAAGCCUGAAUAAUCUGUGCAUGGAAUAAUGGAAUAGGACCUCGGUUCUAUUUUGUUGGUUUUAAGAGCCCCGAGGUAAUGAUUAAUAGGGACCAGAUGGGGGCAUUUGUAUUGCGACGUUAGAGGUGAA